GACGAGCGCUGGCGGCGUGCCUAAUACAUGCAAGUCGAGCGAGCUUGCCUAGAUGAUUUUAGUGCUUGCACUAAAUGAAACUAGAUACAAGCGAGCGGCGGACGGGUGAGUAACACGUGGGUAACCUGCCCAAGAGACUGGGAUAACACCUGGAAACAGAUGCUAAUACCGGAUAACAACACUAGACGCAUGUCUAGAGUUUGAAAGAUGGUUCUGCUAUCACUCUUGGAUGGACCUGCGGUGCAUUAGCUAGUUGGUAAGGUAACGGCUUACCAAGGCAAUGAUGCAUAGCCGAGUUGAGAGACUGAUCGGCCACAUUGGGACUGAGACACGGCCCAAACUCCUACGGGAGGCAGCAGUAGGGAAUCUUCCACAAUGGACGAAAGUCUGAUGGAGCAACGCCGCGUGAGUGAAGAAGGGUUUCGGCUCGUAAAGCUCUGUUGGUAGUGAAGAAAGAUAGAGGUAGUAACUGGCCUUUAUUUGACGGUAAUUACUUAGAAAGACACGGCUAACUACGUG
rnacentral:rRNA from 1 species